UUUUUUAUACCCUUGCUCCAUUUCCAUUAUGUCCAUUUGUUCCAUUUACCCCAAUAGACAUCUUUUGAGAAGCAGCAGAUUUCUUCCUCUUCACAGCUAGAUACCAGAUCUGGGACGGCACAAGGAUAUAAUUUGUACUAACUGAACAUUAUUAGAUGUGGGGCAGGAAGUUCUAAAGAUUCAAAGCACAUUUUAAUCAGAAAAAGAUUACAUCUAAUAAAUUGGUUAAAGCAAAAUUUUAAUUAGAAGUUAAAGAAACAAAACAUUAUAAUAAUUUUGAGCACGCAACAUUUUCAAUUGAGUUUGAACCUUAACUUUACUGUAUAUCUACGAUAUUUCCCUAUAACCCAAUAAAUAAAUUGAUAGCUACUGAAUAUACGAAUUAAUGGUAAACAAAUAGCCCAAUUUACAUUUCACACAAUAUUCCCCCGCAAAUCUGAUAACAAUCCAACAAAUAAAAAUCAAUAAAUGAUACCUCUUAGAUGUCUCAAGCGCUGAUUUGGGUCGUUAGGCUAGUGGGCCCGAUGACUGAGGGCUGAUUGAAGGUGGCGGGACAGUAAUAUGGUGGCGGAAGUUGCAACCGAGUAGAAGAAGAGCAAAGUGAGAAGAAGAAAGAAGCGUGGCAAAGAAGGAAAACUUUGGAAGAAAAGAAAAAGUAAAAGAAAAGGUAGGG
rnacentral:lncRNA from 1 species